AAGGUGGAGUUGAGCAGCUCUUCCAGCCUGCGCGGGACGUCGUUCUCCCGAUAGUACUCCAUCGCCUGCUGCUUCAGCUUCUGCAGGUCCCUAGGGGUUCCACAGCUGCGGCCGCCGCCUUCUUCCCCCAUGAUGGAGAGUGUUGGCGUGUAUGGAUUCUGUGGGUGCAAAGGGAAGAACAAAAUGAAGUGUGAUUCAAGGUGGGAAAUCACUGCAGCAGGGAAAAGAAGACUGGACUGCCUAAGGAGUUGAAUUUGGAAUGAAUAAUCCAGAUGAUUCUGCAAACUGCCAAUGUCAUUUCAACAUACAUCAGCACAGUUGAUACGUGUGGAGACGAGAAGAUACUGAGCAUGACCAGAUGGCACAACUUGCUGCGAUUGGGCUUCAGCUACUUUUUUUCAGGUGACUGGAUCGUUUUACCAUCAUUAAGCAGUUUGUAGAUUGUCUUAAUUCAGUGGAGGGAUGACGUUCUCCCAUAAGAAAAAUAAAGUCCAUCACAAUACAAUAGCUGAA